GACACGCAUCCAAAACACCUCCGUUACAGCUUUAGCCAAGACACACCGAAUGACAGAAAGGUGCUGCGGUGUUUUUGGACGUGUACGCUCGUGAGAAAAGGUUGUACAAGGUUCACAUUAAAGAACCGUUUCUGGCGCCUCGAAGAACCUUUAAAACAAUGGAAUAAUCUAAAGAACCACUUUUAAUACCUUUCAGUGAUCCUUUCUUAAAACGAUUCAUUUUUUUUAAGAUUGAAUCUAAACAAUAUAAAGAACAUUAAAGGUGUCAUUAACAUUAGUUAAUGUAUUAAUUAAUAUGAACGAACAACGAAAAUUACUCUUAGUGCACUCUUUAGUAAUCUUUGUUAAUGACUUCGUUGUAACACGGCUCUGAGCGAAUGAAAUCAUCCUGAAAAUGUUGUGCACCGCGUGUAACGUUACGGUCUCUCUGAAGAAAGAGUCGACUCUGAAUCAACGAGUCGUUUUUUUAAACGAGUCCCGAGCCGCUUCGCGUCGACGUCAUGGCGGCGCAUUAGCAUAUCGCCCACUUCUCUGUCUUUUGCGUUGGUCUGAAUAAACAGGCUAAUUCGUUAAAGCUCACAAGCACUGCUUUAAACAAAACACGGAAGAAAUGACUCCUUCAACGAAUCAUUUGGGAGUCAAAAUAAAUGCACGCUAUGAAACAAAAAGUGAAAGUGUUUUUAUGCAUCCACGUCAACCAGUACCGAAAUAUGAGCCUGUCAUGUUUACAAUCGCAACGCAUUACUAAAUGCCGAAAUUGACAUGAACUAAGCCAGCGGAUGCAGCGUCCGUAACUGUGAGGUUUGAGGAGCAGUUCUCGGAGGAACUGCCACAGAUGGAUCGGCUGACCAGAACAAGACGAAUCCGCUUCAGACCACAGCUCUUCACCUUCUGACCUCUCCCACUACCAGGCUUUGCACCUGUUCUAAGGAUCUCUCCUCCACCUGCUCCUCCAGGGUAGGAGACAGCGGGGAGGCUCCCAGCCCGGGGCUGUCGAUCACCGGACACUGCUCGGGCUCCUGACACGGCUCC